GGGAGCAGAGACAUUGCUCAAUAAUGAGCGUAGAAGGAAGAAAGUGAUUGCCAUUGUACCUUUACACGAUGGGGCAGGCAUAGCAAAACCCUCAGAAAAUAAAAAUAGGGAAUCAGUCAUCAGUCUAUGGAGAAGCCAGAAGGCAGAAGAUGGGCUAACCCUAGACUCUUUUGGAGGAGACACUAGCAAGGCUUACCGCGUUCCUCACCCGUGAAGAACGAGGUCAGCGUGCACACACGUGCCUUCUGUGUCAUUUGUCUGUGGGCAGAACCAGCCUUUCCAUCUGCCCAGAAAUCCCACCAUUCUGCAGCAAUGAUUGGAUUGGCCACAGAAGCCUUGCAUUUAUCUACAAGCUGUCAGCAGAGUGGAAGAGCUUUGCUAUCUGCUUCGCUGAGGAAGGUUGGGUUGAGUGUGUUGGAAGGACGCUUCUCACUUUGAUAACAGCAGCUGCCAGCACAAAGAAAGGACUGUGCGCACCUGUCAGAUCUCCACACUCUCAUAGGAUGCAAUCGAGCCAGGUCUGUCACUCAAACCUUGAAGCAUUGGCAAUGAAGGACAGGUAGCAGCUCAAGGCUCAUUCUCUACCUAUCAUCAAGAGUUGUGGGCACAAAGGGAUGGGGAUUUAUGCUUAAUAGGAUUUUUAUCUCCAUGUUUGCAUUUCUA